AGUGUUACGCCGGCUGAACGGAAAUCAUUGAUGUUGAUUAUUACGGGAUUAAUGUAUCUCUGGCACUA
rnacentral:tRNA from 1 species